UACCUAAUCUGUCCUAGCACACACUGUUGAAACCUUUUCCUUUGUCUCCUUUAGAUGCCUCUGAAUUAUUGCCCAACUACAGGUUCAGGACUCUACAAAGUAUGAGCAUUAGAGCCAUUAACCUGAGAACCUGAACUAGCCUGAGAAAACUUGUUCAUCCAACUACCUGUUCAACAUCUCCUACAGGAAUCUAAAACUGAACACAUUCACAAUGGAACUCUUGCCUUCUACCUCCCGUGUCCUUCUCUUCUUGGUAAAUGGCAUCAUGAUUCAUCCAGACUUUACUUGGAAACCACGGAGCAGAAGGUCUUGCAAAGGAGGUGAUCAUAGCAAAAUGUGAUCAACACAAGCCUAUGGUGAGUCAAGGCAGCAGAUGGUGAACUGGCUGUUGUAUGCAAGGGCACAAUCCUUACCUGACCUGUAAGUCACCCUCAGCAGCCACAUCAGGUCGUGGGUGGCUGUUGACCAGAGUUGCCAUGCUAGGCUGAGGAUUAUAGCUUCUUGCUGGCAUGAACCACCACUUUCUUUGGAAGGGUUAUGGAGGGAGGGAGCAGUCAGUUGUGAAAGGUCCUGCUUCUCUGAUCUUGCCAGCAGGCUUUUGGAUGUACUACCACUACUAAGGUGAUGUCAACCAUAGCAAAUAUGUGCAGUGCUUGCUUCAUGUUGGGACUGUUCUAAGUGUUUUAUAUGUAUUAACACAAUUACCAUAGCCCCCAAGGUAUAUUUGUGAUGGCCACAAAGUCUUUGAUACUUUUCCUCUUGAAUCUGGCUGGACUCUGUGACUACUUUGACCAAUAGGAUAUGGUGGCAGUUAGGAGGUGCCUGUUAUAAACUGUCUUUUGGAACUUGCUCUUGGAUGCUCACUCUAGGACAAGCAUGACAAACUCAAAGACUAACACUGGUCAAAUAAAGAAGGUUUAAGUUUAUGUGGGCCACAAAAAAACAAAAGCUUCAAUUUUCAUAGAAACAUAGGUUCAUUUUGAUAGAGACAU